rnacentral:rRNA from 1 species
UACGUAGGGUGCGAGCGUUGUCCGGAAUUACUGGGCGUAAAGAGCGCGCAGGCGGUCGUUCAAGUCGCGUGUGAAAGCCCCCGGCUCAACUGGGGAGGGUCACGCGAUACUGAUCGACUCGAAGGCAGGAGAGGGAAGUGGAAUUCCCGGUGUAGUGGUGAAAUGCGUAGAUAUCAGGAGGAACACCAAUGGCGAAGGCAGCACUCUGGGACGUGACUGACGCUGAGACGCGAAAGCGUGGGGAGCAAACAGG